AGAGUUCUGGGCCGCACGCGCGCUACACUGACUGAGCCAGCGAGUCUUGCCUUGGCCGAGAGGUCCGGGAAAUCUUGUGAAACUCAGUCGUGCUGGGGAUAGAGCAUUGUAAUUUUUGCUCUUCAACGAGGAAUUCCUAGUAAGCGCAAGUCAUCAGCUUGCGUUGAUUACGUCCCUGCCCUUUGUACACACCGCCCGUCGCUACUACCGAUUGAAUGGUUUGGUGAGGCUUCCGGAUUGACCUAAGAACGAGGGCGACCUUGAUCUGGGGUUGAAAAGCUAGUCAAACCUAAUCAUUUAGAGGAAGUAAAAGUCGUAACAAGGUUUCCGUAGGUGAACCUGCGGAAGGAUCAUUAAAAAUUUAUUUGAUUACACGAUUAUGUUUAACAACGCAACCAAACAACUUAAUUAUGUCAACAACAACCAAAAUCAAAACUUUCAACAACGGAUCUCUUGGUUCUCGCAUCGAUGAAGAACGCAGCGAAAUGCGAUAAGUAAUAUGAAUUGCAGAUUUUCGUGAAUCAUCGAAUCUUUGAACGCACAUUGCACCUUGUGGUAUUCCACAAGGUAUGCCUGUUUGAGCGUCAUUUCUCCCUCAACCUUCUGGGUUGGCGUUGAAUGGCACUAGCUCAGUCCAUUCGAAAUGUAUUUUUACCAUGUUGUUAUUUUCUAAUUUAGUAGUGACAACAACUAAAAACACAUUUUCCUCAAAUCAGGUAGGACUACCCGCUGAACUUAAGCAUAUCAAUAAGCGGAGGAAAAGAAACCCACAGGGAUGGCCUCAUUACGGCGAGUGAACGGCAAAACUCAAAUUGGAAUCUCAUCUUCAGGCGCGAGUUGUAAUUUGAAACUUUUUUGAAUAACCCCUGUCAAUUCCUUGGAAAGGAGUCCC
rnacentral:rRNA from 1 species